GAACUGUAAGAUAAUAAAUAGGUGUGGUUUUAAGCCACUAUGUUUGUGGUAAUUUGUUAUAGCCACAACAGGAGACUAAUACAAUGACCUUCCUAACACCCCUACUAGCUAAGUAGCGCAUCGCUUUUGGUGUGAGGAAACUUAAGCUCAGAGAGGUUAAGCACCCUCAAGGUCACAUAGCUAACCUAGGAUUCAAAUCCAGUUCUGUGCCUGCAAGCCCACUAGAGCCUUGCCACUCAAAGCAGGGUCUGUGGACCGUGGCAGCAGUAUUACCAGCAACUUUUCAGAGAAGCAGCAUCUAAAGCCCCAUCCUAAAACUACUGAAUCAGAAUCUGCACUUAACUCAUGGGCACGACAAAGUUUGAGAAGCCUGGACCACACCCGCUUUAUCCUACGAUGCUCCCUGUUUUGGACAUUUCCCCCGUUUUGAAAAAUAAACACUUGUUCAAAGUGACUGAAGCACUGCCAGAGGGUCAGGACCCUUGUUGGAAAGAAUCCUCUUCUGGGGGAUUGGUUAAUUUGUUUUGAUCUAUGCAAAUAUCCAACUUUAAGCUGCAAAGGCUGAUGCCCAGAGCAGCCUCGUUCCCAGCAGCCAGGCCUCUAAGCUGUGCAUCAGCAAGCUCGUUCGAAGACCCACUGCACUCAGGCCAACUGCUGGGCCUUCUCCAGCAGCUAAGCCAACGGCGUAGAGGCUGUCUGAAUGAUGUGGAGUAUAGACCAGCACACACAUCACCUGGGAAGCUUAAUAAAAUGCGGAUUCUGCUUCAGAAGUCCUGGUAUUUUGCAUUUCUAAUACGCUCCCACCAGGUGAUGCUAUUGAUUGGUGGGGGUCCUCGAGCAGCAAGCUGUGGGCACUCACUCCUGAGACCACCAUCUCAUCAAGGUUUCUUCUCCAUUUAAACCUCCAAGCAAAGGCUUUCAAAAUCCCGUGGCUCAUCAGCCUCACCUAGGUGCUUUUCGACAAAGGGUGGACGUCCACGCGUUUGGAAACGACUGCUUGAAACCACAGAAGCAAAUACCUCCUCAACAAAUCUGCUCCACCUCAAGUCUGAUUUUGCAUGAACUCAGUGCCACUGCUGGAAACAUAAAAUGCCUUCCUCCUCGUCUUGCUAAGACUUCAGACACUGAGGAGGCAGGACCCUGAGAGGGUGGCUGAGCUGCCGAGGGACACACGCCAAGACAGCAGAGAGCCCUGAGAAACUUAGCAGAGGGCCACAGAGCUCCCCACUACAAGGUCACGGACAGGCCAACUCUGUCUCCUCCUUGCUCUCUGAUCCUGUGCCCUUAUCUUGUGACAGAUACUAUUAGUGUGACUUCCACCGCCCCUUGGAGGGGAGGGCAAAGUGCAGCAGCCUGCAGGGACAAUUUACUCCCCACAUAUGGUUGUAAAACACUGUAAAUGAAACUUCAAAGCCUUUGGGCAGCCACUGCCCGUGGAUCUGCCUUUCUCCAGAGCCGUCCUCAGCAGCCUGUGCAGUUCUGCUCAGAGGUGACCUCAGCGCCCGUCUCUACCCCCGCCCCUCCAAUCAGCACUCCCAUUAAGAAAGCGGCUUUUAUGACAUCACCGGUGAUUAAACCGACCUAAUUUCUCCCAGGCUGGCAGAGUCAAGAGCCUCAUUCAGUACAGAAACCUGCUCUAUGGGCCUCAGCUAAGCCACUUGAGAAAAAAAAAAAAGACCUGUAAUUUGUUCUGGGAGGAAAAGAAAAACGGUGUGCAGCUGCAGCUUGCCGCACGUGUGACGUGGAGCAGGAGAGACCCAGGCGUUCCACAGCCAGCCCCUCUCUCUGCUGGGGCCUGGGGUUCCGGAAAUGCUUGGUCCUUCGUGCGAUGGACGCCUGCUGAGCAGAGAGGGUAUAGUCGGUGGUAGUUCCCUUGGGGAGAGCAGCAGCUCCUCCUCUGUUAUCCCGUUUGCCGCGCUUGCUUGGGAUUUGCCAGCUCAUCUUUCUCACCUGCGGACCCACCAAGCUACUUCUGGCUUCUUUGUUCAUGCUUUUUCCCAUACCUAGGGUAGCCUUUCUUUUGCCUUGUCUGUCUAAUGAACUCCUAUUCAUCCCUCAAAACUCUGCUCAGGCUUUGAUUCUUCCAAAAUGCUUUCCUCCCCCACCACUCAGAAUGAACUCCAUGCAUGUGAUUCGAUUCAUUCUGGGGCUGUCAAAGUGUGGUCCCCAGACUGGAAGCAUCAGUAUCACCCGGAAACUUGUUAUAAAUGCACAUUCUCAGGCCUCACUCCCAAAGUAUGAAAUCAGAACUCUGGGGGUGGGGCCCAGAGGUCUAGAUUUUGAUAAGCCCACAGAGGGCUCUGAUGCACGCUAAGGUAUGAGAAUGAUUGAGAUAGUUCACGCAUCACACUGUACUGUGUUUUCAUCUGUAUUCCAUAGUGGUUUCUGAGCUCCUGAGAGCUGACGUGGUAUCGUAGUCACCUUAGCAUCUCUAAUCUUUAGUGCCAGACUGGGUAUACGCAGGAUGAUCGUUUUGAAGGACAAAUCUGAUAGAACAGGGGAAUUCUUCAUGAUAGCAUGCUGAUUCAUUCUGCAAAGUAGAGCCUGAGCACCUCCUGUGUGCCUGGGGCUGAGGACGGAGUGGUGAACAAGACAGUGAAAACCCCCUCCUCAUGAAGCUUACCUUCCAAUGGCUGUCUUCGCAUUUGUGUUAAAAGGAGAGUGACGUGUUCCCAGUAAGUAACAUUUUGCUAAAUAUUAGAAACUGCGGUCCCUUUGAAGGUGAGCUAUGGGUUUAGCGUUGUUUGGGAGAUGUGGGCACAUCUCUGGAAGAUUGUCUAAGUUUUCCCUAAAGGCUCAAGGAGUCUAUCCUCGGCUCCUAGGUGCUGUAAUAUGCACUCUGAGGAUUCAGUUGGUUUCUGGCUUCUAGGGUGUGGUAUUCACUGUUGUGACAAACUUGGCUGUUAAAGAAUGUUCUGUGCUUGAGAAGUUCAUCUGGAGAUGGGAAAGGAAGCCAAGAGCAAAUGUCCUCAUCCUCUAGUGUGAUCCACCUGUUGCUUGCUCCCCUAGAAGCCUGUGCUUUCUCUUCAAAGCCCUUCAUUUUUCUAUGAUUAUAGUUUCCCCUCUCUCCCUCUUCUCUCUCGCUCCUCCUCACCCUCUCUCCCUCCUUUCGCUGAUUUGUGAGCUCAUCAAGGGCAGGGCUUCCUCUGUCUUGCUCACUGCUUAUCUCCAGAACUCCAUCACCGCCUGACACAUGGUGGGCGUCUAAAGUCGGCGUUAGGGGGUGGAGGUAGGAGAAUGAAUCCUCAGGUCUUUCUUAGACCUGCAAUGCUUGUGCAUUUGAAGUUUUUAUUUUAGGGCCGAUGAGUUUUAUUUCUGAGGCUUAUGGCCUAAUGUAGCCCUUACCAGUAUUUUUAACACUCUUCUUUCAAGUUUUUGAGUAAAUCUGUUUUAUUAUGAGUAAUCACUGCCUUUGUCAGGAGUUCUCCCCAGAGGCGGAAAUUUGUGCUCUGCUUCUGGCUGUGCCUCUAGUGAAUUAAGUAAUCCUGAGUAAGUGCCUUUGCCUCACUAGCCUCUGAUCUUCCUCCUCGUGAAAGGAGUCGAUGGGUCUUAUGAUUCCUUAGGUGUCUCUAGCUCUAAAAUGCAGCUCAUAUUCAUCCAGACCUAGCACUUCUGCAGGGUCCCUUUCAGGAUGUGAGUGGGCAGUGGGAAUUUUCCAGAAGUUUCUUUUCUGGAGCUGGGGAUGAUAAGCAGCCAUAAAGUGUUGCUUCCACCUACCUGAAUUGCCCACCCUGCUCUCCACAAUGAUGGUGUGGGAAGUGCCACCAACCCCAGAAGCCUCACCCCUGCCAAUUCUGCCAAAGGGCAGGUCGUCAAGAUAAUUUUCCAGCCCUGCUGAGACGUUAGUUCUCCUUUCCUACAAGUUGGCUGCUCAGAUAUCUGCAGACACAUGACUCCUCUUUGAUGCUCGGCAGACUCCUUAGAACCUCCUCUCAGGGGUUGUGUUUCUAGAUCUCCUGUAGACAUCACCUCUUCUGGAAGGGCUGCAGUGAUUCAUGGACCACACACAUUUGCUGUCUGGUUUUAGAGCUGGGCUCAUGACAUCCAGCUAGCUCCUAAUCCCUGCCCUAGGCUUCCCCCAAUCCCUGUAGACCUGUCAGCAAACCAGUGAUUAGGAUUAAGUUCCUCAGGAAUCGCAUUUCAACUCAGUUAUUCAUUUACUUUGAACAAGAUGCUACUUACCAACUCUCCAUGCCAGUGUUUUCUCACCUGAAAAACUGGAAUUAAACACAGAGCUUGGCGUAGAUUUCCUGUGAAAUGGCCACUUGCUGCAAAAGUGUUGCGUAACAGGGAAGUCACGCUGCAUGGAGCUCCUCGUUCUCCUUUCUCUUCUUCCUUCUCCUCCUCUUCUUCCGCUCUCUCCCUUCCACUCGUCCUCCUCCUUCCUUUUUGUCUUUUUCUAGUGUGACAUUAAAAAAACCCCACACAGGUAGUGAAGUGCUCAAAACCCAAGAAAAACUUAACAAAAUUUUUGUAAAAUGAAUAUUUGUGUAAUUACCACCCAGGUCAAGAAACAAAAUAUAUCCGCUGCGGAAACUUCCCAGGUGCCCUUUCUAGCAAUAAAAUCUUCCGUCCCUCUAGCAGUAACCACUAUCCUGAUAAAUUUUUUAUCAUUUCACUGUAUUCAAAAGCCGGACACAGAUUUCUUGUCUGAUUCCAUAGAUUUCAUUCAACAAUAAUAAGAGCUAGCACCUAUCCAGUGCUUCCUGUGUGCCAGGCAUUGUUCAAAGUGCUUGACAUACCGACUCUUUUCAUCCCUACAACAACCUUGUGAGAUAGGUAUCAUGAUUGUUAUCCCAGUUGUACAGAUGAGGAAACUGAGGCACAAAAGGUUAAAUAACUUGCUUGGGGUCAGACAGAUAGUAACGAGACUGGAUUUGAACCUAGGUAGUCUGGCUUCUGAGACUGCACUCCUGUUGACUGUACGGCUUCUUGUUAAAUAGGAUCUGGGAGCUGCACUGAAAAAUUAUGAUACCUGUGCAGUCCUUCUGCAGGCACUUAAGAAGAAGUUUGAAUAAUUAUAGCACUGAGGCAAUCCAAUCCUACUUCCAUCUUUACAGUGAAACCAAUUUAGCUGUGUGUGCGUGUGUGUGUGUCCUUUCUGGACAUCAUAUUCAUUUCAAGGUUCAGUUGUCUAGCAUCACCUUUGCUGAUCUCUUCCAAUACGGAUGGGGCCAACUUUUUAGGUGCCCAAGCCACUUCGGGUUCUACAGGCCCCAGAGAGUGACUCUCAUUUCCAGAAUGGCAUAACUCAGCUCUUCGCAAACUUUUUGCCAAGAACUGCUUUUCAUUCUCCUGCCUUGACUAAGUAAAAAUAAAUGUCCCCCUUCCCUCCUUUGCUUUAUUAUCCAAAGACAUAUAUAUCUGCUAAACUUUGCUUCUAAUCUCCAGGAGAUAAGUAAUUAUAACCAGUCAACCUCAGCUCUUAACACUUAUUAGCUGUGUCAAUCUAAGCAAGGCAUUUAACCUCUCUGUGCCUCAGUUUCCUCAUCUAUGAGAAGGGGAAUAACGUUAUCUCCCUUAUUGGGUUGUUUUGAGCAUCAAAUGAGAUGAGUACAAGGUGCCUAGACAGAGAAAGUGCUUGGUAAAUAUUUGCUGUUUUUAUUGUUAAGUUGAAGGUAACGGUAGUUCUAUAUAUGAGCUUAUCUUGAACUCUAGCCUAAAGCAAAGAUAUCUGGAUAUUUGUAUUGGCCUGUUUACUUUUACUUAAGAUACAUAAAUUAUGCUAGACUUCUUAAAAUAUUGAAAAUAAUUUGUGGCUGCCCCUUGCCUUAUUCCUUUGUAGAAAUCCAGGUAUCUUGGGACCCCAGAUAGGAAACAACUAGCCUAAGUUUUAGCCAUGGAGGGUUUUGGAUAUUUACAAAUUCUUCCCUAAUUGGCUUUUUAUCACAAUUACAUAAUCAACCCUUGAUUACUUGGGGACUGCGGUCCAAUUGGAGGAAAGUCCUUGGCUUCCUCCUGCUUUCUUUAUCAGUCCAUUUCAUUUCUUGUUUGUUCCUUUCACCAAAAUUCAAGGGAGAUUUUGAACAGCAGAGGAUAGAAAAAGAGAAUCAAUCAGCCAAAUUUGUUACUUGUCAUUAACUAAGGUUGAAAGAAGAGGGUGGAACUACUGACCAAUGUGCAUUUGAGAUUGCAAUCAUCCCUGUUGUCCCAGUUUUCUGUUGCUGUGGAAAAUUAAGGUUUGCCCGUAUGUCAGCUGCUGGGCAUUUGGGCAGACAACGUUGUGUAGGAGAAAUGCACAGGCAUUAUGGUCAGCUCUAGGUUUGAAUGGUGGCGUCCCUACUCACUACCUCUGUGAUCGUGACCAAGCUUCUCUAAGGCUUGGUUUCGUCAUCUGUAAAAUGGAAAUAAUGCCCAUCUCACUGUGAAUAUUAAGUGAAAUCAUGUACAUAAAAUGCCUGGCAUCCAGCAAGCACUCAUUAAAAGUUCAUUUCUUUCUCCUUUCUCUUUUUAGUUGGUCUGUGAAAACAAGGUGAUGAGUCAAUUUGGUGAAAAAUGAGUAGAAGAUGGUGACCUAGCUCCACUUAGCCAAGUAAUUUAUUCAUUAACUAUAUUGUCAUCAUCUUACCAGUGUCCAAAAAUUGUUUAGAGACAGCUUAAGUGUUACAGAAUAGUCAAGAUUUUGAAGGAAAAAAAUGGGGAAAUUGCUACAAAGGCAUCAAGACCUGACUCCACCCCUCCACCUCCCACAUCCUCCUUGCGCUAUCUUAAGUCAAUGUCUCAGAUGAUGAUGACAGUCAUCAUCAUCAUCGUAUCAUCUUUUUACAAUGUUCCUACAUAUGCAUUGUCUCAUUUCAUUCUCAGUCGUAAUGACUCUGUGGGAUGGUGGAUUACAUGUUAUCUCCUUUUUCUGAUGAGGAAAUUGAAACUCAGGGAGAUCAAAUGACUAGCCCAAAUGCACGCUUCUAAGCAAUGGAUGGAAAAAGAUUGAACACAUCUCAUGAUUCUAGGUCCAGAGAGUCUUUACGACUUCAUGUUGCCAGGUAUAAAAUAAUGAUUCUGUCUGAUUUAUUUCUGAAUAUUUGACAUAUUUAAUUAUGCUCUUAUCUUUUCACUUCCUUACAGAAGAUCUACUUCUCUGAAAGAAGUAUUUUAAACUUCAACACUAUCAUAUUCACUAAUUUCAUUACAGAUUAAUUUCUAUGGUAACAAGUUUACCAGAAAUCUCUGUGUGUAUUUUUUUUCCUUCAGAAGCUAUCCAAUAGCCCAGUUAAAAAGAAAAAGAAAUACAUUCAAUUCAAAAUCCCAAGUGAACUUGGACAAUUUUUUUAGUUCGUUAUGAUGGAAUUUAAUUUCCAUGCUAUUUGGGACUCAUACUACUACUUGGAUGAAAAACAGUUUCCAUUAGAGAUAAAGGGCCUCUUCAAGAACAAUGGAAGUGGAAGGAAAAAAACCCAGAUGCUUGAAAAGAGAAGAGUUAUAAGCAGAUUGGCUCACUUUAAAAGGUUGAGAUGGAGAUUCAUAAAAUAAAUGAAUGAAUCAGCCCAAUCUGAUAGAAGGCUUAGAACCUCUGGUGGGAGGAACUGGAAGCAUGAUCUUGGACUCAUGAGGAUGGACUGCCUUCCAUCACCUCUGAAUCAUUGUCCCUGGGUCAUGUGAAAUGUGUCCUCAAGCUAAAAGCCUACAACCUCCUUGCAUCAAGCCUGGAGAAGUUGUCAACCACUCUGUCUUACAUAUCCUUUGACUUCCUGAAGUUGGUCUAGAUGUUUCUACAUGAUCCCACCCCCAUCUGAGCUGUUGGCUCUGACUUACUUUCUCUACCACCAUCUCCCUUUAUCUCCCCAUCUUAGUUCCUCAGUGCAGGGGGUAUUUUCUCUGCACUGGGGAAGGAACUACAGAUUAGAGUCUUCCAGGCUUGAAUCUGAUGUGUAUUGGGAGUUAAAGGAAUUCAGGCUGGCUUUAAAGAUUAUUGUCUUGGCCAUUACAUUUCUUUUGAAUGUCAAAAGCCACAUAUUCUUUCUUUUGAAUUCAUGCUAUGAUAAUUCUAAACCCUCUUGAGACAAAUAGAUGCCUAUGGUAGAAGUGGGAGAGAGAUCAGCAUAUUAAGGAAAUUUAAAAAAAACAUAAAAAACUGUUGUAUUAAAUAAGAAAUACAAGAAUACAUUUUUGUUAUAAAUAUUCAACAAUACAAAAUAUGUAGUAAAAACAAAAACUCCAUCUUGCCUUAUACCCUUACCAUCCCACUGCCCUCUCUAGAUACAUCUGUCAUUAACAGUUUAUGGUCUAUCUUUCCAGAUCAUUUUCUGUGUGUUUAUGUACAUAUAUAUGUGAGGGUACAAAAGUAUAAGUUUUGCUUUUACUUUUAGUGAAAGUGACUUUAUGGUAUAAUCUUCUUUUACUUAACGAUACGAUUUGUAAAUCAUUCCAUAUAGAUCAACUUCACUUUUAAAAAUUGAUGUGUGGAAAUCCAUCGUAUGGAUGAACCAUGAGUUAUUCAACCACUUUCAUGAUGUACUCUUAGAUGGUUUUAUAACUCCUUACUCUUACAAAUAGUGCCACAGACAACAUCCACCUCUACAUCUCCUUGUACAGGAUUUCAAACCUUACAAACAUGGAUGCUUUACAAGAAUCUACUAUGGAAAUUGACGACAUUCCAUAUCUGCUCUUUGGCUACCUGUAAACAUGAAAAGUAAUGCUGUCACUGGUCCCCAUUUCCAGAUGCUAAGCCUCUGCUUUAAUUUGGGUCAUUAUGCUUCUUUUUCACUACUCAACUAGUUCCGCUGAAAUAACACAAUCUUCAACUUGUUUUUCUCUCUAUUGAAAAAGUACCACAGAAUCAAUAGAAUAAGGCAAAUCCAAAGUAUUGAUCAACAUAUGAGCAUAUUUUUAGUAUCGUUAUUUCAGAGAAUAAAGUUGAAACUCACAGUUCUUCAUCUGAAUAACUGUAGGAGGGCAGCGUUUUUCUUGUCAGUGGAGUCCUGGCCCUGGUUCUCUCAGUGGUGGUUACGCACAGCAGCAGCAUGCUUAGAUUACCAUCGUCAAGAUGAGGACUUGAAUUGCUCCCUUCCAUCUGUACAGGGCGCCUCAAUGGAGCACUGGCUUCUUGUUCAGAACACAGUGACCAGUUCUCUUGUCACUUGUUUGUUGCUACCCAGUUUAGUGGUUCACCACUGUGGUUACUCCAUGCUCCCUUCUCUGCUUCCAUCGCUUCUACCACUAGCAUCUACAUCAUAUUCUCUCUCUCAUCCAAACCACUUUCCAGCAGAGUGCAUAUUCAGUACUUCCAUCAGGCAGAGUUCCCGUGCCAGGCUGUCUCAUUGAUCACGGGAGAGAUGAGCUCCUUUGGGUCAGGUGCUCAUCCCUAGUCCUAUCAGCUGUGUCCAGGGGAGCAUGACCACGUGAUAUAAGCUUAGAACUCAGGGAAUUUCAAAGAGGGGGCCGUGAUGGAUAUUCAGUGACAUCUCAGAAGGGGACAGAGUAACUGGCAGGCCCUUUGCAUGCCAAUCUGGCGUAUCUGGAAAGGGCAUCCUGCUAAAACUUUUGUUGGGAAACUCCUUGUCAGUAUUUUCAGGCUGCAGGAGCAACAGAGGGAAUCACUGAAAUUACAUCUGAUUAUAAUGUGUUUCUCAGGGAAAUAAAUAGCCCAAACUGAAGCACACUUCCGGUUGUCAAUUUUUCACAAGCAUCCUGGAACUCAGUGACAGUUCUUGAAGAUUGAUAUAGACCUCUGACAGUGAAUUGAUUGUUCCAGCAGAGAUCUUUAAUGAGAUUGUGCACACUAUUAAGGAACCACCAUCUCCAGCAUAUUACAAUGACAAUGGCGAGAUCUUGUGAAUACGGAAAGCAAGGCAACUUUCCUGCUCAUUUCUUUUUAAAAGCACCAACCCCUAGCAGCAAGGCCUUCUUGUUAAUUAGUUGUUAAUUAUUGGGACAGCUCGUGAAAUGUUUGUUAAAGAGCUGGCCCACUAGCAAAGAAAAGAACCCAGAGAAAAAGACUGAAUUGAAGAGUAAUAAAAGGAAUGAGCUAGUUUUUACACAGUUGACUGGCACCAAGGAAAUUCUAGCAACUUACUCUUCUGGUACAAGAUGACAGGUACUGUAGAAAUGCAUAGUAAACAGACAAGAAUAGAUGAAAAUAUAAUAGAUGCACAGAGCUGGAAGAAACCUCAGUAAUCAUCUUCCCUUAUUUUGCAGACUGAGAAACACAUGUAACAGAGCAUAAAUGAACUGCCCAAGGUCACCUUUCUAGUUGGUGUCCCAAGAAAUCAAUUUAGCCCAGAGAUCUCAUCACCACCAGGCCCUGUUGAAAACCAAGCGUUACGGCAUUAACUCAUUAUGGGCUUGAUGCGUGAAAAUCACCAUGCUGUUGUGUCUACUGAUACAGGCAUUACCUUCCAAAGCAUAUAUAAGGUCUUCAACUCAAGAGAAACUGUUACUCAAGCAAUUGGACUUGAAGAGCCUCAUCUGCACAUGGAUCUGGUUUAGAUGGUGAGAGUCUGGACUCUGAGCUCAUGCUGUGAUGAGAUGAGAGUUUGGGAGACCUUGAAAGCGGGCACAGUGACAAUGGGAAAGAUGUGAAAGCUCCUUUGGUAGAAGAAUCCUACUUGGAGGUUGCACUAAGAUGGCCCCUCUGUCUGUCAGACGUUCUGACACUUCCUGGGAAUCAUCACUAACCGUCCUCUGAGCAACAGUAACAGACAAUUACAUGUUGAAAACAUUUGUCCUAACGUAUCGUGUGGGUUUUACUUGGGCAUCUACACAGGUUUCGCCAUGAGAAACAGCUAGCUGCCCCAGCCAGUGAUUGGCAUAGAAUCCCAGGCUUGACUUGCAGCAGCCACGUCUGGUUCUGGUUUAGUGAGGGACCCAGCUUUAUGGGGCAAACCUAUCCGGUUGAAGCUUCUAUUGCUUUAACUCUUUUGGAUUCUCGUCACAUUUGGGCUGCUUGCAAAUCAAUGCCUGUGACCCCUUGGUUCCCAGGCAAGAGGGGGAUGGUUUAGCAAAGUCCACCACUCUUCCAGAAAACCAAUUCAAAAUGCACUAUACAUGUUCUCUUUUUUGUAGGACUACAAAUAAACAAGAAUACACAUUUGUAUUUUCACAAACAUAGGUAGGAUGAAAAAAAAAUUAUCAACAAAGGCGAGAAGGAAGUGGAGAAAUGGGAUAUGGCAGGAAGACUUCUUAGGUGUACCGUGCUUUAGAAUUCUGACUUUUGAAACACGUAAAUGAAUUACCCUUUAAAAUAAAUUUUUAAUAUAAAAAACAUACUAUCUGUUGAAUGAGGCCUCAGAGUCUCAUUUUUGCUUAGGAAACACACCCUGUGUAAUUUGUAAAAAGUUAUCUUAUUUUAAAUGCAUAUGUUACCCUAUGUUUAAAAAUGGUAGUAGUUUAUUUGUUUGGCAGAAAUGAGAGCCUGUAGAACGUGUUGGCUGUAAGGCCUCAGUGGGCAUUAAAUGCUGGAGUAGGAUUUGGAAGACCAUGACCUCUUAGUUUGGGCUUCAUAGGGAACCAGCUGAGUGGCUUGGAUGAAUCACUUUACCUCUCUGCUCCUCAUCUCUUCACCUGUAACACCAGCUUAAUUCUACCUCUUCACUGUGCUCCCAGGGUCCUCAUGAGGCUCAAAUGUGCAAACACUUUGAAAGCACCAUUGCCAUCAUUCCUAACAGUCCAGUUUUCAACUGAACAUGUACAGUUGGAGGCCAUUGUCCAGGUGGAGGCCAUUGCAAAAUAUACAAAAGCUAACUUGAGACAGGGUACCAUCUUGAGACUAUUUCCAUUUGUCUCCAUAGCACUGUCCACAGACUGGAGCCACUCAAAGGCUGGGCAUGGGUCUCCUCACUUUCCUACUCUCACUUGCACAAAGCAUUUUGCUAAGGGUUAGAGGAGUCGUCUAACAAAAAAGGUGAAAGCAAGGGAGGUAGAAAUUAAGUCUCUUCUUCUGGAUGCCAGAAAAAGAACUCUGGUUCUGCAAACAAGUAAGUUUUAGGAAUGCUUGGUGAUGACUUCAAAUUCUUAGGCUUCUAAUCCUCUCCCUUCCUUACUUUAAAAUACACACAAAAUUAAGGAGGAGUUAAGAAAGGUGGCAGGAUUUUUGAAAGAGGUUUCAAGAGUGAGACAGGAAAAACAAGAAAAUAAACCACACAACGUGUCCUGACAUGUUGAUAUGUUUCCCUUUAGUUUUUUUCUCCCCCUAGAAAAAUAUCUAGGAUUUUGUCUCCUCUUAACAAAAAUUUGGAUGGAAAGUUGGACAUAAUCCCCAGACCUGUAAAAGUUCUUUGUGCGGCCGGCACUGGAGUGCUUUUCUUACAUUCUCUCAAGAAGCCAACCUACCAUGUGGCGAGUUUGUGAAGCCAGGAAGGGAGGCGGUAAUCUGAGAGGAGCUGCAGGGCGGCUCCCCAGGGCACAGCAAGGCGGGGCCCCAGCUCCACCCGGCCGGCCUGGCCUGGGCCCCUCCUGUUGCCACAGGGGAAAAGGAGGAGAGACUUACAUUUAUAAAAGCAGGAACCUACCCGCUGUAGAGGUCCUAAAAUGCCGAGGGAGAAUUCCCAUUUGGGAGGUCAAAUCUAGGUCAGAGGAAUUACCUAGUCAUUUCUGAAAACCCUCUAAUUCAGGGGGUCAAGCCAGGCUGGCAACACCCCAAAUCAUUAACUAAAUCUAACUUGAUCUUUAAAAACUUAACCUAAGACUGUUUUGGUUCUUUGGCCUGAGGUAAUUUUUCUGAUGGCAUUUCUGUUACUUCCUGUUUGCGCCUGAGCUUUCCUUGCCCAGCUUCCUUUUCGGGGUUCAGGUUGCCUCGACUACCAUUUCCACUGAGAUGUAUGGAAAAGGGGCGUGUGUGUGUGUGUGUGUGUGUGUAUGCCUGUGUGUGUGUGUUGGGUUGGAAGGCAAAGAAAUAAUAGCAACUCACAUUAAAUUUGCAUGUUACAAAACACUCUUCUCAGACAUUCAUCCUUUCGUUUUCUUUCCACAACAACACUAGGAGAUAAGCAAUACCAAUAUGCCAACAUUACAGAUGAAGAAACUGAGGCUUAAAAAGGUUGACAUGUCCAAGGUCACACAUCAGAUAAAGGAGCAAGCCUGGAUCUGAGUCCCCAGAAUCUAAAAUUCUUUUCAUUUAUUUAACUCGUAGAGGAACUCUAAAUUUAAUUUAUUUGGCAGAACUCUAUUUUAGGGAGGAUUUAUUUAUUCAGUCUUUAUUACAGAGCUUAUUCCUGAAGUGUAAAGAAAGAUUCAGCUUAGGCCCUUCACUGGAGCAAUGGAAGAAUUCUUAAGGACCCACUAUUUCGGUUUUUGGCAACUCUUCUGCAGCCUUUCAACACGGCCAUCCCUGCGCCAGGCUGGGGCGGUCCCCGUUGCCGGACCCAGGGGUGCAUUGUCUGUGUCAGGCAGUAGGGGGAGCGUGUGUGCAAGACCAGGAAAGCUGCUCAGACUCAGGCAGGAAAUGUCUGCGACCACGUGUCCUUAGCAGGCCGUGUUGGAAAAGUAUUUUUUUGCUGCUUAGGUGCUUAGAUCUCCGGGCUUCUCUGCAAAGAUGUGUACUUACUGACUUGUAGGGUGGAAAAACCAGCCUAAGGGAGUUGUAGAAAGCGGUUGCUGAUGCCCACUGCUUUAAAGGGAGCAAAAGCGUCCACAUGGCCUCUGAGGAAGGACCCCAGGCUCUGGGCCCCUGCAGGUCAGAGAAGGCCCUUGAAGCUUUGCCUCUGUGUCGGCAGAAAAGACACAGAGGCCCAGACAGUGGGCCUUCCUGGCUCCAAGGAUGGCGCCACCUGCACCCAAAACCUGCCUGAGAGGGCAGGAAUUUGCACGGUCAGCAGCAUGAGAAUUAGAAUGUACACUGCAGGAGGGGAGAGCUGUCCAUCUGGUUUUUCCCUGUAUCUGAGCCUUUCAGAACGGUGCAGGGAGCUGGCUGGGCUCUCAAGUGCCUUUACGGGGCACUUGCUUGACAGAGCCUGUUAACUCAUGCUGCGUUUUGACAAGGACCUUGAAGUCAGAUGGAAAAGAAACAAACACUUCUGACAUUCCAUGAUCUUAAGCCCAGAGUAAAACUGGGGAGAAGCUUCUGAGGUGUGCACUAGUUCUGGAAUAACUCUGAGUGCUGACAGGUCACUUUUACUCUGGGAUGUAGAGUUCUCUCAUUUUCCUUUCUGGACCAAGAUUGUAGUUUCUUAACCUGGGAAAGAAAGUUGCAGCAGGGGGUAUACCCUGAGGGCUGGCUGGCAACAAUUUCCCUCCCAGUGAAAGAGAGAAGCAGCAAAAGUUGAUGUUUGCCUACACUUUGGAUUUGUAUAUAGAAGAUAAUUGAUCUUCUCUUUUUAAUGGUGGUUAUUUACAGAAAACACUGACUUGGUCUUGGUUCCAAACACACAGGAAAUUUGUACUCGAAUGUACCUGCUCCUGUAAUUUCUUUUUCCUUUUGGUUUAAAAUGUUGACUUUCUGUUUUUCUAGACCAGUAGAAAAGAUAUUAAAGUUUUCUGCAAAAUGACAGUGUAGUGGUACCUUCAUGCUGUUUUAAGGGUAAAAACUCUCAUCAUCGUGAAUAGGUUAAAAAGACAUAAUCAGGGUAACCAAGAUGGGAAUGGACAAAAUGGUGACCACUAGGAGUACAUGGCAACCAUGUUCUUUGGAUCCCCAUUCUUCUCAAGGUUUCCCCUAAUACAGUGAUACCUGUGUAUCACUUACAUUUAUUAUCACAGGGAUACCUAUGCAUCCCCAAUAUAAUGGUAUAUGGUGCAUAACUAUAUGUUGAGUUGUUAUAUGAUAAGGAAUUUAAAUAAUCUGUAAUGCUUCUUAUUUCUCAUGGCCCAAGACUCCAUCAGAAAAUUUACUUUACAUAUGCAAACACUCUAGCUCAAGUAAUUAAUUUAUUCGAUCACCCGUCAUUGAGUGCUCUUCACGUGCUAGGCAGAGGAAGCAAAGGUGAAGCCCUGUCCAUGAAUAACUCACAGUCUGGUAAGAGAGACCUCCCAUUCUAUUGCAGGCAUGUUUAAAUAUGUAAGAGAGCCUGGAGGGGGGAAUUCCACAUGGAUGAGGUGGUACUUGUCAGGAGCCCAGGCACUGGAGUCAGGCUGCUAGAAUUGAAUCCUGGCUCUACCAUUUCCUAGCUGUGUGACUGGGGCAAGUUUCUGAACUGAUCUGAGUCCCAGUUUCAACAUUUAUAUUAUAUGGGAAGAAUAAUGGUACCCAUGUCAUGGGUUUUUAUUUGUGAAGAUCCAGUGGAAUGCAUCAUAAUAAAUACUCAGUGUGUAUUGGUUGGUGAUGAUAACGAUGAUGGUGAUGGUGGAGGUGAAGUGAAGAUGAGGCAGAGGAGAUGGAGAAGGCUUCAUGGAGACCUGUAGUGUCAGGAAUUCAGUGGUUAAGGGAGGGAAAUGUGGAAGAGUGAAGAACAUUCCAGAUAGGGCUCAGGAAUGUGUUUUAACAAGCCUUCCAGGCGAUUCUAGUGCUCACUGAAGUUUAAGUGGUCAGCUGUGGAUGUUAAGUAAGGGAAUGAGAUGCUUAGAUCUUCAUUUUUAGAGAGAACACAUUGGUGGCUGUGUAAAGGAUGGAUUGGAGGUAGGGAGACAGGACGCAGGACAACAGGUUAGGAGCCUGGAGCCUAAGUGAAAGAUGACAGGGGCUCGAGUUCUGGUCAUGGUGGUGGGCACAUGUAGAAAGGGAAAAAUGCAUCAUGUGUGAUAGUGGUGAAACAAAGGUCAUGGUAAAGGGGAGACCUAGAACACAUUAAAGUGUAGGGUCGACCAGAUUUGUUAAUUGGAUUUAGGGGUGAGGAAGAGCAGGAGGCAAGGGUGAGUCCAGGGAUGGUGAACACAGGGCUUUUAAUACCAAUGACUAAAUGGUGCCUCUGUGGUCUUGCUGAGACCGUUCAUUUGCCCCUCCCUCUCCCUCCUUCAUCACUGCCAAGGUGACUGACAGCAUGGAUAGGCAUCCAUGCAGGAGGUCUGGCUCCCCUCUGGAAUGCACCGCUCUCUCCAACCACAGCCAUCACCUCCCCCAUCACGCCCCCCACGGCUGAGGGAGUCAUUCCACCAGCCGUGGUUACUGCCACAUAGGCUGAUGAGUCACUCUCCCAGAACAGCUGGUGGCCAAUGUUCUUCUCUUCCACAGUUUGGCAGCACUUCCAGGACCUGCCCCUACCCUCCAAAAAAGCAUUUUGACCCACCCUUUAGUGCAAGCUCUCUUAGCAGAGCUCGCCACCCACUUCUCCAGGAUCAGAGGAUCUCUCCUCCAAAAUUAGACUCAAAUUAUUGCUCUGUCUACAUUUUAACUCAGAUUAUUAACUCGUUAUUACUUUGUUACUGCCACGUCUGAAGUAGAAAGAUUGUCAGAGGCAGGCAGUAGUGAUUCCUGUAAGAAUGACACUUCUUUCCCUGAAAGCUGUCUUCUUCAAAGUAUAGUCUGUGUAACACCUUCUGUAUCAAAAUUAUUUGAAGUUUUGGUCAAAAUGCAGAUUCCUGAGUUCUCCCAUAGACCUCCUGAAUACUGGGGUUGGAGCCUAAGGUUAGAAAUCAGGGAAUUUAUGUUUUUAAAAAGCAUCCCCAAGUAAGUCUUAAAUUACCUACUGAAAAGUGACAGUGGUGGCACUAGAAUUCCUUUUGUAAUGCUUCUGACCCACUGUGCAGCUAGGAUGAACUCACAGUCCUGUGGGCCUUGCCAGCUUGCUUGGAGGAAGGCCGUGCAGCCUCUCCUGGGAGAGGACACCAUUCUAGAGCCUCCCAGAUCAGCACUAUUGCUGUUCUGGUCAUUUCCU